UACGGGAGGCAGCAGUGGGGAAUAUUGGACAAUGGGCGCAAGCCUGAUCCAGCCAUGCCGCGUGAGUGAUGAAGGCCUUAGGGUUGUAAAGCUCUUUCAGUGGGGAAGAUAAUGACGGUACCCACAGAAGAAGCCCCGGCUAACUUCGUGCCAGCAGCCGCGGUAAUACGAAGGGGGCUAGCGUUGUUCGGAUUUACUGGGCGUAAAGCGCACGUAGGCGGAUAUUUAAGUCAGGGGUGAAAUCCUGGAGCUCAACUCCAGAACUGCCUUUUGAUACUGGAUAUCUAGAGUCCGGAAGAGGUGAGUGGAACUCCUAGUGUAGAGGUGGAAUUCGUAGAUAUUAGGAAGAACACCAGUGGCGAAGGCGGCUCACUGGUCCGGUACUGACGCUGAGGGUGCGAAAGCGUGGGGAGCAAACAGGGAUUAGAUACC
rnacentral:rRNA from 1 species